rnacentral:rRNA from 1 species
GUCCACGCCCUAAACGAUGAUCACUAGUUGUUCGGAAAGGUGACUUUCUGAGUAACGUAGCUAACGCGUGAAGUGAUCCGCCUGGGGAGUACGGUCGCAAGAUUAAAACUCAAAGGAAUUGACGGGGACCCGCACAAGCGGUGGAUGAUGUGGAUUAAUUCGAUGCAACGCGAAAAAACCUUACCUACCCUUGACAUGCCUGGAAGAUCGCAGAGAUGUGAUUGUGCCUUCGGGAACCAGGACACAGGUGCUGCAUGGCUGUCGU